GCCUGCAUUACCCACAAUGCAACUCUGCUGCCGACAGCUCUGUCAGAGACCAGCAGUGCUCAGACAUCGUCAUCACUUGAGGCAAUUGAUCAGUUUUCUUGCAGUUCAACAGGGUUUUCACGUGACAUUGAAGGUUCUGUUUUAUUUAGACUCAGAGCCUGACUUAGAUGUGGUUAUGAACAUGUCUGUCUCCUGUUUCACAUCAAAAAGCUGAUGGGUUUGACGGGUUAAUAGACUGGAUGAACAGUCAAUAUAUUUUUGGCAGUAUGGUGACUUAAUGGACUGGAAACAUGGUUGCAUAGAAAUGAAAAAUCAAAUAAAAUCUAUGAAAAUCAAAUGAUUAAAGACCUGUAUGAUCAGAUUUAGCAGGGAAAGAGGAUUUUUGGUAGAUUUUGUUUUCUCUAAGUAGCAGUGAUACAGUGGGAGCCAUGGGAAAUCCCGUGGACACAUACUGAGCAGAUUCAGGAAACUGUCGACGUGAUGUCACUGUUACGCAUGGUAAUUUAGCAAUGCUUGAUACUGCUCUCUCUCUCUCUCUCUCUCUCACCCACACACACACACACACACACACACUGCUGACAGAGGGAGGCGGGCGAACACCGUGUUAGAAGGAACUACUGACCGACAACCAUCAUCAUCGGACUCGUCUUUGUCGUUACAAGCGGCUUCAGCCUCCACGGAUUGUAAGAAGGAAAGACGCACAGAGACGUCGCAUAUCGACCAACUCGCCCACCAUCGUUUACCAGAGGAGCCAUGGUGGCAGCAGUCCUCAAGCUCUAUUUUAUUGGAACGGCGCUGAGCGUCCUUGCAGUCCUCUUUGAAAUCGUGGACUCCUUUGGUGGUCUGAUGUAUGUCCAGGACCAUCACUACAUUUUGGAGCUGGACCACCAGACAAAGACACAGCAGCGGGUCUCCUCGAGCAACCACCCGAGAGGAUCUGUGAUGAAACGCAUUGGCUCGUGACACCUUGGAUUAACGGUUGACUAAACUAAACAAAAUAAAACACAAAAAAAAUGGCAGCCUGGAUGGACAUGCAGAUUGCUGGUUGGCUAUGGAUCAAAAGACUGUGAGAUGUAGUAAUUGCACUGUUUCCAAAUAGCUCUGCACAAGGCUGGUUUGUGCAUUUGGGUGCAUAAACCCACAGUACUUCUCUGUUUGCUCCACUGUGUAACCAUCUGCUGUCAAACACUGUAGCAGCAAGUCUGUGUUUAGUAACUCCAAAUCUGACCAGAGAUGUAACUGCACUAGUGAACAACGAUUUGCACUAAAAAUGAGGAAUGUUUGUGUUUUUUGGUUUUUGGUUUUUUUUUUUGUGAUCAUGUAAAUAUGUGGAUUUUGGGAUUGUUGUGCAUUUUUUUAAUAAACAAAUCUAUGAUUUAUGUGUCAUAGUAAGCAGAAAA